CCAAAUAUUUUUUUUGUUUUUGUCAAAAAUGUUGAAAAAAAAAAUUCUCGCUAUUGCUUUUAAAUGUUUAUAAAAUCACUUACUGUUAAUGUUAACAAAUUACUACUAAAACAAAUGGGAAAUAGUUCAAGGCAAGGUUAUAGCUGAAAUCUGACGAAUUGAAUAUAAGCCCCUUUAAGUAAAGAGUCAUAUAUGUGCUUUUUUAAUAAUUUUAUUUAAACGAUUUAAUGGUAAUUCUUUUUUGAAGCAAUUGAUGUAAUAUGACAUUUAUGCUACAGUGAAAUUACAAUUUGCUAUAAUAAUAAAUCCUAAACUUACUAUUUACUUUUUGGUAACCUCUAGCUUUUGAAUUUAUAAUUUUUACAUACAGCUAGGGAGAUUGUGAAUUUAUUACUUGGUGAGAACAUUAUUUCAGAACUACAUACUUUGAGAAGGUUUCAGAAAGCGCAUUAAAAAACUUAUAUUCUGAGUAUAUAUUGUGAACAGAUGGCUCUUAACUUUGUUAAACCAUAUUUUUGGAAUAAGGAAUGAAAGAUCUAUUUUAUAUGAAUCGGUUACAUCAAAUAAGUGAAAUCUGCUAUUUCCGAUUGUGCUAGUUAUGUGUUCGGAAUGUCACUUGGUAGUUACGAUUUGCAUUGGCAGCAAAGUUUGGAUGUUAAAUGUUCGCUAAGAUUGUAUAAAAAUAGGUUACAAAGUUUAAGAAGAACUAUUUUAAAAGUGUUUUUUCUUAUUUCAAAGUAACGAAUCAAUUAGUUAUUUUUGUACUGCAAUCAACCUGGAAGUUUAUUUGGUUCAAAUUACAAACAAUACUUUUGCAAGGUAAGUAGAAGAACCCAAUUUUUGUUAGAUUGAAUAUUUAAAGAUAUUUGUUUUUGUAUUUUUAACAGCAAACCCGGAACAAAAAAGUGAAGAUUAUUAUAAAAUUACUAAAAAAACCUUUGUUUUUAUAUAAUCUGUUAAAAAAGAUUCAGGUGAUAAAUUGCAUUCAAAAAGUUCCAUAGUAAAUUAUAAUAAAAAUGCAUAUCAUACAAAAUGGGGUAGUAAUUUUGGCCAUAGCAGAAAGGUAAGUAUGUAUAACUGCACCUGUUUUGUCUAUAUAUAAAAUAAAUUUCUUUUUAACCAUCUCAGGAACUCAGUUUUCUUUGUUUCAAAGAAAUUGUGAGAAACUGGGUUUUGCAUUAUGUGCUAUCAGUAGAAUCUCGCUGAACUUAAAUCAUUUAAAAGAUAUUUGUUGCACUUUUUGUUUAAAUUUUCAUUUGUUCUUAUAAACUUAUAUUAUUUCGUUUAUCCACUUCAAGUCCAUCGAAUAGUUACCAAAAUUUAUUUUCAUCUAAAUUCCCAUCGAAAUAAAAUUGCUUUACUUGAAUAUGCAAUUUACCUGACAUUAAUGGAACUUUAAUCGGCAUUUCACGAUUUUUGUUUAUUUUUUUUUUUUUUGCUCUUCCAAAAAAAGAUGAACCUGGUAUACAUCGGCAUAUAAACUUGUGUAGAUACACACAACACAAAUAAAACAGAGACAGCAAGAUAAAGUAUAGAGUUCGACAAAACAAAAUGAUGGACCAUGGAAAAAAAAUCUUUCUUUCUACCUCCAAAAGCAAUUAUCUUUUUUUCACGAAUUUUUGUUUAAAUAAUUUAGUUUCAUUAUCAACUUUAUAAUAAAACACCAAAGAUUAAUGUUUUCAUUCACUUUUGUACCUGGGUAUUUUUUUAAAUUUUAUCUUGUAGGUAUGCAUUGGGAAUUAAAAAGAUUAUCACGCACCACUCCCACUUUUUUUUUCUUGCAAUUUAUAUUUAUAAACAAAUAAUAAAGAAAAAAAUAUUAAUCAAAAUUGAAUACUAACCCCGUUUACGCGGCCCUUGUGUUUGUUGUAUGAAGUUCAGUGUCGUUAUUGCAAAUGGAAGAGCAGCACCAAGCAGCACAACGAUGCAAAAACAAUGAAAUAAAGAAAAAUAAACAAAAAGAAAAAAAAACAAGAUUAAAUGAAAGUAAUUUAGUUGCUCUCUUUAAUGAUGAUGAUGAUGAGAGUUAUUAAAAAAAAAAACAAAAUUCGCAUCAUAAUUUAUGUUUGGGUUGAUGAGUUUUAGCAGGUAGUACACCACCGUACUCUGGGCGAACUAGAAAUGUCAAUACGAUAAAAGAGAUGUGUCUGUCCAUCUCGUCGUCGUCGCAAUCAACACAACACGGCACAGGCACACAAAUUGAGUAACCUAAUGGAUUCUCAAUCAAACUUUGAAAAUAAUGGCCAUCCUCAUCAUCAUCAUCAUUAUUCUUCUUCUUUUUUUCUCUUCAUCUCAUAUAAACGAGAAACGUCGUCGUCGCUGAUGACGACCCAACAAAACUUACAUCCAUGACCAAUCAACAGCCAGGGUGAUUUUCGUUCGUCGAUGACUUCCAAGUCUUUUUUGUG